rnacentral:lncRNA from 1 species
AAUAGAUGAAUGAUCUGGUAUGACUGUGCCUCCACAGCACUUGUCUCUCCGGGAUACACGCCACCUGUCCCCACAGUCCUACCUGGCCAGCCACACCAUCUAUGUCACUGCUUGUCCCCUCAAGGCUUUUUUGCAGCACUAGAGACUGGAUCCAGGGACUUUGCACUGAGCUAUAUUCCUAGCCCCUUGUAAGAUUUUUUUAUUUUGAUGCAGGUUCUCUCUAAGUCACUGAAUUCCCCAGGCUGGGCUUGAACUUGCCUCAGUCUCCUAGAGUGUUUUGAUGACAGAUGUAUAUCACCAUACAGCUCCAUUUGCAGUUUUGACUCCCUGGAUUAGGUAAUAAUUCUAACCACUAAGAAUUAGAGAGUAGCAAGGUUUUUUCUGCUAUCUUUUAUCUAAAACAGUUGACCUUCCUAUUCCAUGCAUAGAUUUGGAAUGGAAGGCCUAAAGCCAUGCAGUUACCCAAGCCCUAGGCUGUCCAGCUGCUGUGUGGUGAAGGCAGGGAGCAGGCACUGGCACCGCUACUUUCUCCUCUGGGGUUUUCAACAUCUGAGCUGGAGCCAGGAGGACCUCUCAGCUUUGGCUCAGGAUCGCAGAGGGCUGUCCUGCUGUCCAGGGGGGAGGCUGAGGCCGAGGAAGGGAGGAAACAGUCUCACAGCAAGUUGGUGGAGGGUGGAGAAUGAAAAUGACAGAAAUCCUACCGGACCUCUCUGGAGCAUGGGAUGGGAAGAGGCUGAGGCUGUGGAAGCAGAGAGGAGAACACUGGCUGCCAGAGGCCAUGGC